rnacentral:rRNA from 1 species
UCCCAGGGUAUUGCCUUAGUACGGCGAGUGAGCGGCAAAAGCUCAAAUUUGAAAGCUAGCACCUUCGGUGUUCGCGUUGUAAUUUGAAGAUAGUUUCCUUGAGUAGUCCUUUAUCUAUGUUCCUUGGAACAGGACGUCAUAGAGGGUGAGAACCCCGUAUGAUUUUGGAUACUACUCUUUGUGGGAUUCUAUCGAAGAGUCGAGUUGUUUGGGAAUGCAGCUCUAAGUGGGUGGUAAAUUCCAUCUAAAGCUAAAUAUUGGCGAGAGACCGAUAGCGAACAAGUACAGUGAUGGAAAGAUGAAAAGAACUCUGAAGAGAGAGUGAAAAAGUACGUGAAAUUGCUGAAAGGGAAGGGCUUGAGGUCAGACUUGGUGUUUAAUGAUUAUCAGUUCUUCUUGGACUGUGCACUCGUUUUUCACCGGGCCAAUAUCAGUUUUAGCGGUAGAGUACCCCUUGAAAUGUGGCUUCCUUCGGGGAGUGUUAUAGUCUUGGGGAGAUCUACUUGCUGGGACUGAGGACUGCGCUUCGGCAAGGAUAUUGGCGUAAUGACCUUAAGCCGCCCGUCUUGAAACACGGACCA